rnacentral:siRNA from 1 species
ACGGGCUGUCCGCGAUGGGCCAUU